rnacentral:rRNA from 1 species
GACGAACGCUGGCGGCGUGCUUAACACAUGCAAGUCGAACGGAAAGGCCCUGCUUGCAGGGUACUCGAGUGGCGAACGGGUGAGUAACACGUGGGUGAUCUGCCCUGCACUUCGGGAUAAGCCUGGGAAACUGGGUCUAAUACCGGAUAGGAGCCAUUUUUAGUGUGAUGGUUGGAAAGUUUUUUCGGUGUAGGAUGAGCUCGCGGCCUAUCAGCUUGUUGGUGGGGUAAUGGCCUACCAAGGCGGCGACGGGUAGCCGGCCUGAGAGGGUGGACGGCCAGAUUGGGACUGAGAGACGGCACAGACUCCUACGGGAGGAAGAAGUGGGGAAUAUUGAACAAUGGGCGCAAGCCUGAUGCAGAGACGCCGCGUGGGGGAUGACGGCCUUCGGGUUGUAAAAUCCUUUCGCUAGGGACGAAGCUUUUUGUGACGGUACCUAGAGAAGAAGCACCGGCUAACUACGUG